rnacentral:rRNA from 1 species
UACAGAGGGUGCGAGCGUUGUUCGGAAUUACUGGGCGUAAAGUGUGCGCAGGCGGCUUCGCAAGUCGAGUGUGAAAUCCCCGAGCUUAACUUGGGAAUUGCGCUCGAAACUACGGAGCUGGAGUGUGGCAGAGGAAGGUGGAAUUCCACGUGUAGCGGUGAAAUGCGUAGAGAUGUGGAGGAACACCGAUGGCGAAGGCAGCCUUCUGGGCCAACACUGACGCUCAUGCACGAAAGCGUGGGGAGCAAACAGG